GACGAACGCUGGCGGCGUGCUUAACACAUGCAAGUCGAACGGAAAGGCCCUGCUUUUGUGGGGUGCUCGAGUGGCGAACGGGUGAGUAACACGUGAGUAACCUGCCCUUGACUUUGGGAUAACUUCAGGAAACUGGGGCUAAUACCGGAUAGGAGCUCCUGCUGCAUGGUGGGGGUUGGAAAGUUUCGGCGGUUGGGGAUGGACUCGCGGCUUAUCAGCUUGUUGGUGGGGUAGUGGCUUACCAAGGCUUUGACGGGUAGCCGGCCUGAGAGGGUGACCGGCCACAUUGGGACUGAGAUACGGCCCAGACUCCUACGGGAGGCAGCAGUGGGGAAUAUUGCACAAUGGGCGGAAGCCUGAUGCAGCAACGCCGCGUGCGGGAUGACGGCCUUCGGGUUGUAAACCGCUUCCGCCUGUGACGAAGCGUGAGUGACGGUAAUGGGAAAAGAAGCACCGGCUAACUACGUG
rnacentral:rRNA from 1 species